rnacentral:piRNA from 1 species
UGGGUGCUUGCUGUUUACAGGGACUAUUA